rnacentral:rRNA from 1 species
GUCUUCGGAUAUAGAGACCGGCGCACGGGUGCGUAACGCGUAUGCAAUCUACCUUUUACAGGGGAAUAGCCCAGAGAAAUUUGGAUUAAUGCCCCAUAGUAUUAUAUAAUGGCAUCAUUUUAUAAUUAAAGUCACAACGGUAAAAGAUGAGCAUGCGUCCCAUUAGUUAGUUGGUAAGGUAACGGCUUACCAAGACAAUGAUGGGUAGGGGUCCUGAGAGGGAGAUCCCCCACACUGGUACUGAGACACGGACCAGACUCCUACGGGAGGCAGCAGUGAGGAAUAUUGGACAAUGGGCGCAAGCCUGAUCCAGCCAUGCCGCGUGCAGGAAGACGGUCCUAUGGAUUGUAAACUGCUUUUAUACAGGAAGAAACACUCCGACGUGUCGGAGCUUGACGGUACUGUAGGAAUAAGGAUCGGCUAACUCCGUGCCAGCAGCCGCGGUAAUACGGAGGAUCCAAGCGUUAUCCGGAAUCAUUGGGUUUAAAGGGUCCGUAGGCGGUUUAAUAAGUCAGUGGUG